UGGUGGAUUGAUCUGUCUGCUUAAUUGCGAUAACGAACGAGAUCUCCACUUUUAAAUAGGUGGACACCACGUAUGUAUGUACGGCUUACACUGUUGCUUCGGCUCAAUGUUUGCCCGAGUUGUGUCAACACUUCUUAGAGGGACUGUGUAUGUUUAUAAUACACGGAGGAUGGAGCCAAUAGCA
rnacentral:rRNA from 1 species